rnacentral:lncRNA from 11 species
GUUUGUUCAAGGAGGGUUGUAGGAGUCUGGAGAAAGAACCAUUCAGCACAUUAACAUUGGAGCUCUUCUGCAAGAGACGUGAACAAAAGGACAACAACAAGAAGAAGCACAAGAUAGAACAAACCACCAUCUCCCGGAGAGCGCCUUUGUUGGGCCAUGCUGCGACAUACUUGACCACCGACGCUCCGUUGCACCCGAAGGGAUCAGCUUCAUGGCCUUGUUGACCCCUCAGGGAGUUGCCGGAUGAUCCUGAGUCUCAGGUCCUCACCAGGAACUCGCUCCGUCCUUGACCAAAACCUCGUCACCUGGUGAAAAACAAUGUAGAGGUGUGGUAGGGAAUGGUGGGUUCAAUUCAGAAAUGUAUUUUUCUAACUGCUGCAUUUGUCUGCCCAAAGCCUGAACCUGGGCCAAUGUCUG